UCGGCCCUGCUCGGCUCCUCUGCUCCCCGUAUCAUCUCCCGUGCCUCGAGAAGGAGAGCAGGAGUGCGCGCGAGAGGGAGAGGGGACUCGGAGGAGGAUCCCGGCGGCAGCAAGCAUGGGGAUCGUGGAGGAGGCGCACAACCUGCGGGUGGUGGGCGAGGGGAAGCGGGGCGUCAUCGUGCUGGCGCACGGCUUCGGCACGGACCAGUCCGUGUGGAAGCACCUGGUGCCGCACCUCGUCGCCGACUACCGCGUCGUGCUCUUCGAUACCAUGGGCGCGGGGCCCACCAACCCGGACUACUUCGACUUCGGCCGCUACGCCACGCUCGAGGGCUACGCGCUCGACCUCCUCGCCAUCCUCCAGGAGCUCGGCGUCCAGUCCUGCAUCUACGUCGGCCACUCCGUCUCCGCCGUCAUCGGCUUGCUCGCGUCCAUCUCCAGG
rnacentral:lncRNA from 1 species